GACAUAUGGGGUUUGACACACGAAGUCAGAGAUGCCACAGGGAGCGUUUCACAUGAAGUCAGGAAUGCAAAGGGGAGUGUUACACACGAAGGCAGAGACGUCAUGUGGUUGUAACACAUGAUGUCAGAGAUGCUAUGGGGAGUGUUAUGCAGGUAGUCAGGUCACGUGUAGUGUUGCACACGAAGUCCAAGAUGCAAAGGGGAAUGUGACACAUGAAUUCAGAGAUGUCAGUGGGAGUGUUACACAUGAAUCAGAGAUGCCAGGGGCAGUGUUACACAUGAAAUCAGAGACAGCAUGAGAGAGUGUUACACCUGUAGUAAGAGAAGCCAGUGGGAGUGUUAUGCACAAACUCAGAGACACCAGUUGGAGUGUUAUGCAGGAAGUCAGAGAUACCAAGGGGAGUGUGACACAUCAAGUCAGACACGCCAGGGAAAGUGUGACACACAAAGUCAGAGACACUAGGGGAAGCAUGACACAAGAAGUCAGCGGCAACACAGGGAGAGGUACACACAAACACAGAGAUGCCAGUAGGAAUGUGACAGACAAAGUUAGAGAUCCCAGGUACAUUGUGGCACGUGAAAUCAGAGAUGCAAUGGUGGGUGUUACACAUUAAGUCAAAGACACCAGGGGGAGUGUGACACAUGAAAUCAGAGACGCAAUUGGGAGUGUGGUACACGAAGUCAGAGAUGCCACCGAGAGUGUUGCACACGAAAUCAGAAACACCAUGGGGAGUAUGACACACGAAGUAAGAGACAACGGGUCGAGUGUGGCCCUCAAAUUCAGAGAAGCCAUGGGGAGUGUUACACACAAAUUCAAUGAUGCCAGGUGGAGAAAUAGACACAAAGUCAGAGACGCCAGUGGGACUGUUACACAAUGAAGUUUUAGACCACAUGGGCACCAUGAUGCACCAAGUCAGAGAUAGAAGGGGGAGUGUGUUACACAUGAAUUCAGAGAUGCCACGUGAAGUGUUAAACUCAAAAUCAAAGAUACCAGUGUGAGUGUUACACGGGAAGUCAGAUACGCCUCAUGAAGUGUCACACAAGUCAGGGACACCAGGGGGAGCAUGAUACACGAAGUCAGAGACGCAACUUGUAGUGUUAGACACUUAGAGACAGCAGGGGAAGUUUUACACAUGAAGUCAGAGAUUCCAGGGGGAGUGUUACUCAUGAAGUCAGAGACAGCACAUGGAGUGUUACAAAUGAAGUCUGAGAUGCAAGUGUGUGUUUGACAGACGAAGUCAAAGACGUCACUGGGAUUAUGACACACAAAGGCCGAUAAGACAUGGGGUGUGUGAUCCAUGCAUUCAGACACACCACAGGAGAAUGUUAUGUGAAAUGUCAAAGACACCAGGGAUUCUAAUGCUCUAAGACAGUGAUGCAGCAGGGAGUGUUACAAAUUCACUGAUGCCAGGGGAGGUGUUACACAUGAAUUCACACACCAUUGGGAGUAUUACUCACAAAUUCAGAGAUGCCACGGGGGUGUGUUACACACAAUGUGAGACACCACAUACAGUAUUACCCGCCAAGUCAUAGAUAAUAUGGGGAGUGUCACACCCAAAAUCAGAGACGCCAGAGGAGUUGUGACACAUCAAG
ensembl:lncRNA